rnacentral:rRNA from 1 species
GAGUUUGAUCCUGGCUCAGAUUGAACGCUGGCGGCAGGCCUAACACAUGCAAGUCGAGCGGUAGAGAGAAGCUUGCUUCUCUUGAGAGCGGCGGACGGGUGAGUAAUGCCUAGGAAUCUGCCUGGUAGUGGGGGAUAACGCUCGGAAACGGACGCUAAUACCGCAUACGUCCUACGGGAGAAAGCAGGGGACCUUCGGGCCUUGCGCUAUCAGAUGAGCCUAGGUCGGAUUAGCUAGUUGGUGAGGUAAUGGCUCACCAAGGCGACGAUCCGUAACUGGUCUGAGAGGAUGAUCAGUCACACUGGAACUGAGACACGGUCCAGACUCCUACGGGAGGCAGCAGUGGGGAAUAUUGGACAAUGGGCGAAAGCCUGAUCCAGUCAUGCCGCGUGUGUGAAGAAGGUCUUCGGAUUGUAAAGCACUUUAAGUUGGAGGAAGGGCAGUAAUUAAUACUUUGCUGUUUUGACGUUACCGACAGAAUAAGCACCGGCUAACUCUGUGCCAGCCGCCG